UUUCCGUAGGUGAACCUGCGGAAGGAUCAUUACUAGAGCAAAGGAUAGGGAGCACCCCACAGGAGCUUGCUCCGUGGCGGGCUGCCCGUCGAGCCUCUCGAAGAAGCUCGGUCCUGAACUCCACCCUUGAAUAAAUUACCUUUGUUGCUUUGGCGGGCCGCCUCGCGCCAGCGGCUUCGGCUGUUGCGUGCCCGCCAGAGGACCACAACUCUUGUUUUUAGUGAUGUCUGAGUACUAUAUAAUAGUUAAAACUUUCAACAACGGAUCUCUUGGUUCUGGCAUCGAUGAAGAACGCAGCGAAAUGCGAUAAGUAAUGUGAAUUGCAGAAUUCAGUGAAUCAUCGAAUCUUUGAACGCACAUUGCGCCCUCUGGUAUUCCGGGGGGCAUGCCUGUUCGAGCGUCAUUAUAACCACUCAAGCUCUCGCUUGGUAUUGGGGUUCGCGGUUCCGCGGCCCCUAAAAUCAGUGGCGGUGCCUGUCGGCUCUACGCGUAGUAAUACUCCUCGCGAUUGAGUCUGGCAGGUCUACAUGCCAGCAACACCCAAAUUUUUACAGGUUGACCUCGGAUCAGGUAGGGAUACCCGCUGAACUUAA
rnacentral:rRNA from 1 species